GUUUUUGAGAACUUCCUCCUCAAGCGUUUGAAACAGUCUGCUCUACCCAAACUAAGCUUCUUCCUCUUCUUCUCCAAAGACCCAACACACUUAUGGACUUGUCUAUGAGCCUUCUCAACAUUUAUUCUUGAUCUUCCUAGCUUUUUCUUCAUUUUUUUCCCCUUCUCCUUCCAUCUUUGUUAACUAAUUGUGAGGGAUGCCAAUAAAACUAUCUGAGCAGUGAUCAGGUUUUUAGUAUAAUUCUCAAGAACUAUAAUUCAAUACUCUUUAAAGAUUCAUUAUUCUAGUGUUCUGCAAGACAAGAACAUUGCCAGGAAUUCUCUGAAAACAGUGUCAAGGGAUGGCCUCAAGAAACAUGUCAUCAGGAUUGUCAAAGUCUACAUACCGAUCAGAACUACAGCUCCAUGGGCAUGGUUUAGCCUUCUCUUUAGACAAAGAACUUCUGGCUGCAAGAUCAGCCAAAGUAGCUGCCCUGAUAAAUGAAAAUUCCCAAGAGAAUAUCUCAAGUCUUCUCCGAGAAAUCCCUGUUGAUCCAGAAACUUUUGAGCUUGUUGCAAGAUUCUGCCAUGGUUUCGAACUGACUUUGUCCUCAGAGAAUGUUAUCCCUCUCAUUUGCCUUGCUAACCACUUGGAUAUGACAGAAAGCCACUACAAUAAUAAUCUGCUAAAGAAGGUUUUCAACUUCUUUGAGCAAAGAGUUCUGUCAAGUUGGAAUGAAACUAUCAAAGCUUUUCGUUCGGCAGGUAAUAGCCUUCAACAAGCAGCGCGUUUGGGUUUGUUCGAUGCUGGUUUAGAGUCUCUUGUUGAAAAAGCACUUGCUAAUCCACGUUAUCUUGGAGAUCCUAUCAAGAAUUCAACAAACGAUGAUGAUAGUGGGGAUGAGGAGGAAGGCUAUAGACCAAAUGCAAGACGAAGGCUCUUUGUUCUUGAUUGGAAAUCAGAGGAUUUGGCCACACUGUCCCUCCAGCUAUAUCAUCCCAUCAUUCACUCUAUGAAUCAGCGUGGAGUCCCAGCAGAGUAUGUGGCUGCUUCUCUUUGCCAGUAUGCAGAGAAGUGGGUUUUCUCUAGUGGCAUAGGAGGUGAUAAUGUGUCAGUUUACAAAAGGAACUCUCAAAGGGAUGUGAUUGAAACAGUGGAAAGGCUUCUGCCUCAUGAGAAAGGACUAAUUCCCUGCAGUUUUUUGUUCAAAAUGCUCAAAUUCGCAAUUUCCUUGGAAUCAAGCAAUGACUGUAGAAAUGGAUUCGAGAACAGAAUUGGGAAGCAACUUGACCAGGCAACAGUCAAAGACCUAUUAAUACCUUCUCAAGGGCAUACCAAGGAAAUGCAAUAUGAUAUUGAAUGUGUGAGGAGGAUUUUGAAGCAUUUCUACAGCAACUAUAGUAGUUCUGAUAGUUCUGGCCUAAUUGCAGUGGCAGAACUCAUUGAAGAAUUCUUAGCGGACGUUGCAAGUGACAUAGAUUUGAAGAUAGAUACAUUUACCACCCUGGCUGAGGUGUCAAUGGCAGCAUCAUUAGGAACACAAAAAAACUCUGAUGGAAUAUACAGGGCCAUUGACAUUUACCUGGACAAACAUAGGUAUUUGACAGAACUGGAAAGAGAGGAGGUUUGUAGGAUGUUGGAUUGCCAUAAAAUGUCUCCAGAAGCUUGGGAACACGCGAUGAAGAAUGAAAGGCUGCCAUUGAGGUUUGUAGUGCAAGUGUUGUUUGUGGGACAGCUGCAGCUUCGAGAGCAGAGAGACACAAUUGCAAAAGAGGUACAGGUUUUUGAUGAAAAAUUGAGAAGAGAGGAAGUGGAUGAAGAAGAGGAGGAGGAGAAUGAGGUGAAAGUUGGUUUUUAUGAGGAAAAAGUAAGAUCAGAAAUGGAGAAGAUGAGCAUCAAAGUAAUGGAGCUAGAGAAAGAGUGCUAUAUGAUGAGGAAAGAAAUUCAAAAUGGUUGCAAUCACAGGAUGAAAAAAGAGAAGAUUAGCAUGUGGAAGGAAAUGAAGAGAAAGCUAGGGUGCAUGAGUAGCAUUAAUAAUUGUAAUUGCCAAGUAAAGAAGAAGAAGAAGGUGCAUCCAAAAUAUUAAUAAUCAACUUAUUUGAUUCAUCUUUCUACUAUGUCUGGACUUUGUAUUUAAUUAAUUAUCCUUAAAUGUGAUUUAGCAUCUGUUUCUUCUGCAUGUGAAC
rnacentral:misc_RNA from 1 species